rnacentral:rRNA from 1 species
UACGAGGGGGGCGAGCGUUGUUCGGAAUCACUGGGCGUAAAGAGUGCGUAGGCGGUUAUGAAAGUUAGGAGUGAAAGCCCAGGGCUCAACCUUGGAAUUGCUCUUAAUACUACAUAACUCGAAUUCGGGAGAGGAUAGCGGAAUUCUCAGUGUAGCAGUGAAAUGCGUAGAUAUUGAGAGGAACACCAGUGGCGAAGGCGGCUCUCUGGACUAGUACUGACGCUGAGGCGCGAAAGCUAGGGGAGCGAACGGG